rnacentral:rRNA from 1 species
AUGCCAACGGAUCAGUCCGGCCAGCAGGCAACGGCGCCCGGGCAGGGCCAGCAGCCAUGGGAGUACAGCCUGCGGAAGUACCUCCUGCUGCUGGCCACCCUGGUGGUCACCGUCACGUACGGCAACACGCCGGGGGGCGUCUGGCAGGUCACCCACGACGGCCAACUCGCCGGCGACCCUAUCAUCCGCCAAACCAACUACCACCGCUACCUCGCCUUCUUCUACUGCAACGCCACCGCCUUCGCCGCCUCGCUCGUGGUCAUCGUCCUCAUCCUCAUCCUCAUCCUCGCCAUCCGGCAUGACAAGGACAAGGACAAGGGGAAGAAGGACGCCGUCCGGGUCGUCCUGCCGCUGCGGGGCUUCAUGGUGCUGGACCUCCUCAGCCUCCUGGGUGCCUACGGCGCAGGAACCUGCCGGGACAAGAUCUCCAUCAUCUACUCCGCGGUGCUGGUGGCCAUCGUCUUUGUCUGCAUCAUGGUUCUCAAGUUGAUGGAUUGCUGGUGCCCCAGCUCCGGUGGCGCGAUGCCCCUCAAGAAGCCCAAAGCCGAAGAACGGCUCUGCAAGGUCCUGAUGCUCCUGGCGACGUUCGCGGUGACCCUGCGCCUGACGGUGUUCCUGCUCUGCAACACCACGGCGUUCUUGGCGUCCCUGCUCAUCACCAUGCUGCUCAUCAUUGACGGCAAGAAGCUCCGAGAGAAGACGGCUCGCUCUCGCGUGCUCUAUGGGUGCAUCGUCGUCGCGCUUGUCAGCCUCGUUGGUGCAUACACCGCUGGCAGCUGCAGGAAGACCGACACCACCGCCAAAUUGGUCGGCCUGGUCGGCGCCGUUCUGGCAAUGGCAUACAUCCUACUCUAUGGUGGUUUCUAUACGCCAGCGCCAAAAAUUUCGUGUUCUUGUUUCAGUCCAGCAAAACGACCUGAUGAUGAUGUCAGUGCUAAGGAGCUUCUGGAGAAGGCUCGCUCUCUUGUUCUACUGCUCGCCACUCUUGCCGCCACCAUCACCUACACAGCAGGGCUGGACCCGCCAGGCGGCUUUUGGCAGGACAACGGCGAUGGGCACAUCGCCGGCGACCCGAUCCUCCUCACCACAAACGCUAGGAGGUAUAAGGCCUUCUUCUACUGCAACUCCAUUGCGUUCGUGGCCUCUUUGGUGGCCAUCGUCCUGGUGCAGAAGGAGAUUCUGGUCAAGCACCACGUGCUUGAGGCAGCGAUGAUACUCAACCUUUUCGGCCUCAUAGGCGCUUAUGCAGCUGGGAGCUGCCGGGACAUCAACACCUCCAUUUACGCAAUGGCUUUGGCAGGCGCCGUCCUGGUCUAUGUGGUGAUCCAUGUCGUCUUCUUCACACUGGAUCAGAAGGACAGACAAGACGACCGUGCAGAUCAGUUGCUGGAGAAGAGGCGCAAACGGUUGCUCCUCUUUGCGAUCUUGGCCGCGACCAUCACCUACCAAGCAGGCCUCACCCCUCCCGGUGGCGUCCUUCUCCAGGAUGACAAUCUCGGGCACCACGCUGGCGACCCGGUCCUCUUCUACAACUACCCAUUCCGCUACAAGGUCUUCUUCUACUGCAACUCGGUGAGCUUCAUGUUGUCCAUCGCCCUCAUCAUCCUCCUGGUGAACCCCAAUCUGUACAGGCCAGCCAUACGAAGCAAUGCGUUAUCUGUUUGUACGGCAGUGGGCUUGUUUUGUUUGACGGGGGCCUACGCCGCCGGAAGCACGCAACACCUCAGGACAACCAUCUAUAUCUUCGUGUUGGUCGGUGCAGUCCUCUUUGUUGCGGCUGUACUGCUGCUAGUAUUUUUGCUGACGGAUCCACACAAAAAUGGUAAUUCAACAGCUACUGCGACAUCAAUAUCCCGUGAACAGGAAGAUGAAGAAGAAAAAGAAAGUAAGAAACACGCGAGGCGCAAGUACCUGAUGCUGCUAGGCAUCUUGGUGGCAAGCGUAGCCUACCAGGCUGGCCUGGAACCGCCCGGCGGAGCAUGGCAGAGCAGUGGCAAUGGGUAUGAGGCGGGCGACCCUGUGAUGCAAGUUAACAGGAGGCCCCGGUACCUCGUCUUCUUCUACAGCAACUCCAUUUCCCUUAUGGCUUCCAUCGUUGUCAUCAUGAUGCUGCUACCGCACUGGCUGCCAAACGAGAAGGACAAAGAUUGGGGGAAAUGGUCGCUGAGGGUGAUGAACUGGACGAUCCUACUGGAUUUGGUCACCCUCCUAGUGGCCUAUGCAGCCGGCUCCAGCAGGGGGUGGAAGACGUCUGUGUAUGUCGGCAUGCUCAUACUUGCCGUUCUGGGCUACUUUGCAAUCCAUAUGACGCUGUCAAUAUGGUCUGAUUGUCACCGAGCAGCCAAGAAAAAACGAGAGUGUGAUUCUUUACCGGUGCACUCAGUGCUCCGGUUGAACUCCGACCAGCUCGAUCCACUGCCCAUCAUGCUGGAAUUGGAGUCGCUUAUGCUCCCAGUCAACCCACAUAGGCCCACAACUCUGAAGCCAAUCCAUUCCGACGACCAUAUCAUAAUAGCCGAGAGGAAGUACUCGGAGAACUGUGGAUUAUCGCCGUCGAACGACGGAAAAUCCAACUUCGGCAGCGACCAACUAUGGGAAUUGAUGUGUGGUGUGUGCGGAUCGGAAACUACCAGAUGCUGUGAUGGGGAAUCGGUCAGGGACGUACCCUUGACCGGAGGAGGCACAUGGGUGGUGACCACUCCAUAUGCCGGCCCUCCGGUGUCGUCGAUCUUGCCGUGGCCUCUCGGCCCGUGGUGCUCGGGGGCGUCGUGGUUCGAGCUCGACGCCGGUCGCACCACCGUGUCGCCCUCCGGGAUCGGAUCCGGAGGCACCGCCAGUACGGGGUGGAGAGCGAUGCGCCCCACCUGCGCGCGCAGGUCGUCCACCUACUUCUGGAUGUGGGUGACGGCGGGGCGCCACAGCUCCAAGGACGUCUGGAUCGCAUCCAACCUCGCCUCGUUGGCGAUCCGCCCGUCGUUGACGGCCUUUGCGAGCGCGGCGAUCUGCUCCUCCAUUUCCGCCGUCUGUCUUGCCUGCUUCGUCUGGUAG